rnacentral:rRNA from 1 species
CCCGCUGAACUUAAGCAUAUCAAUAAGCGGAGGAAAAGAAACUAACAAGGAUUCCCCUAGUAACUGCGAGUGAAGCGGGAAAAGCUCAAAUUUAAAAUCUGGUGGCCUUUGGCCAUCCGAGUUGUAAUUUAGAGAAGCGUCUUCCGCGCCGGACCGUGCACAAGUCUCCUGGAAUGGAGCGUCAUAGAGGGUGAGAAUCCCGUCUUUGGCACGGACGACCGGGGCUUUUGUGAUGCGCUCUCGAAGAGUCGAGUUGUUUGGGAAUGCAGCUCAAAAUGGGUGGUGAACUCCAUCUAAAGCUAAAUAUUGGCGAGAGACCGAUAGCGAACAAGUACCGUGAGGGAAAGAUGAAAAGCACUUUGGAAAGAGAGUGAAACAGUACGUGAAAUUGUUGAAAGGGAAACGUUUGAAGUCAGUCGCGUCGGCCGAGACUCAACCUUGCUUCUGCUCGGUGCACUUCUCGGUUGACGGGUCAGCAUCAAUUUUGACCGCCGGAUAAAGGUCGGGGGAAUGUGGCAUCCUUCGGGAUGUGUUAUAGACCUCGAUUCGGAUACGGCGAUUGGGAUUGAGGAACUCGGCGCUUUGCGUCCAGGAUGCUGGCAUAAUGGCUUUAAGCGACCCGUCUUGAAACACGG